GACGUAGGGCGCGAGCGUUGUCCGGAUUUAUUGGGCGUAAAGAGCUCGUAGGCGGCUUGUCGCGUCGACUGUGAAAACCCACGGCUUAACUGUGGGCUUGCAGUCGAUACGGGCAGGCUAGAGUUCGGUAGGGGGGACUGGAAUUCCUGGUGUAGCGGUGAAAUGCGCAGAUAUCAGGAGGAACACCGGUGGCGAAGGCGGGUCUCUGGGCCGAUACUGACGCUGAGGAGCGAAAGCGUGGGGAGCGAACAGG
rnacentral:rRNA from 1 species